CAGCUUCCGGCACCUUUCGCCACUCCGGCACAAACCGACACAGCUUUGCGAUCUCGCCAGCAUGCAGAGUCUGAUGUCUUCCCUAUAGAUGAUUCCAGAGACUCUGUGAAGCCACUAUUACAAGGUGAGACGCUUUGCGUUGAUUGGUGCUGCUGGACCACACUGGAGGUGCGAGUCCGCUGUGUAAUGGUUUAUGCCAUUACAAAGGAGCUGGCCUCUGUACUCAACUGGGCAGGGAAAAAAUACCAAGGACCAGACAAAGCAAAAAAGGGCAUUUAAAGAGACAGCGCUGUGUAGAUGCAUAUUUGAUGGCCUGGCGCAGCAGGUAGGGGCGAACUCUAUGUCUGAGUUGGUCUUUGCUCAAGCAGUCCAGAAAUGGCUCAGAUAUGCUCCAGAUCGUACGGGUGGCGCGCAGGACGCACAUCAUCCAUC